rnacentral:rRNA from 1 species
GAAAGGAGAGAAGGGCGCAUGAAGGAUGCCUAGGCUCUCGGAGGCGAAGAAGGACGUGACAAGCUGCGAAAAGCCGCGAGUAGGAGCAAAUAUCCAUUGAAUCGCGGAUAUCCGAAUGGGGCAACCCGCCGGAGGCGACUCCGGCAUCCGCCACAAUGGCGGAGGCGAACCCGGGGAACUGAAACAUCUAAGUACCCGGAGGAAGAGAAAACAAACCAGUGAUUGCGCAAGUAGCGGCGAGCGAACGCGCAACAGCCCAAACCGCAGACGUGGCAACGCGUCGUGCGGGGUUGUAGGACCGUCAACAAACGAACAGUCAGAGGUUAGCGGAACCGUCUGGAAAGUCGGGCCGCAGCGGGUGAAAGCCCCGUACGCGAAAACCUUUGGCCAUCGGAGACGGCACCUGAGUAAGCCGGGACACGAGAAAUCCUGGCCGAAUCCGCGGGGACCAUCCCGUAAGGCUAAAUACUACCGAGAGACCGAUAGCGAACCAGUACCGUGAGGGAAAGGUGAAAAGAACCUCGAACAGAGGAGUGAAACAGACCCUGAAAUCAUGCGCCUACAAGCGGUCGGAGCCACCGUGUGUGGUGACGGCGUGCCUUUUGCAUAAUGAUCCUACGAGUUGCCGUCGCCGGCGAGGCUAAGUGCCAUUGGAGGCACGGAGCCGGAGCGAAAGCGAGUCAGAACAUGGCGCGCAGUCGGCGGGGGCAGACGCGAAACCAAGUGAUCUACCCUUGGGCAGGUUGAAGGCGGGGUAACACCCGCUGGAGGACCGCACCGGUAAGCGUUGAAAAGCUUUCGGAUGACCUGAGGGUAGGAGUGAAAGGCCAAUCAAACUUGGAGAUAGCUCGUACUCCCCGAAAUGCAUUUAGGUGCAGCCUCGGGCAAAAUACCGCGGAGGUAGAGCGACUGAUAAGAUGCGAGGGCUUCACCGCCUAUCAAGUCUUGACAAACUCCGAAUGCCGCGGCAUGAUACCCGGGAGUGAGGGCGUGGGUGCUAAGGUCCACGUCCGAAAGAGGAACAACUCAGACCACCGGCUAAGGCCCCCAAAUACGGGCCGAGUUGAAGCCAAUAACGAGGUGGGAUUGCAUGGACAGCUAGGAUGUUGGCUUGGAAGCAGCCAUUCAUUUGAAGAGUGCGUAACAGCUCACUAGUCGAGUGAUCCCGCAUGGAUAAUAAUCGGGCAUAAGUCCGUUGCCGAAGCCGUGGAACGCAGCAUAAAGCUGCGUUGGUAGGGGAGCAUUCCGGCAGCCGCAGAAGGUGGGGCGUGAGCCCUGCUGGAGGUACCGGAAAAGCAAAUGUAGGAAUAAGUAACGAUAAAGGGGGCGGGAAACCCCCUCGCCGUAAGACCAAGGGUUCCUGAUCAACGCUAAUCGGAUCAGGGUAAGCCGGGGCCUAAGUGGAAGCCGCAAGGCGCACACGAUGGACAAACGGUAAAGAAUCCGUUGCCCCGCAGUCCCAGUGAUGUGGAGACGGAGCAGUGACACACCCGCGUGCUGACGGAAUAGCACGUUGAACCGCGUAGGUAGACGCCGGGGAGGCAAAUCCCUCCGGCGUGCUGAAACGGGACAGUACGGAGCGCCCCCGGGCAAUCCGACAGCGGUGGUAACCAUACUCCCGAGAAAAUCCGCUAAACGCUAUAAAGGGCUGCGGGCCCGUACCGUAAACCGACACAGGUGGUCGGGUAGAAUAUACCAAGGCGCUCGAGAGAUUCACGGUUAAGGAACUAGGCAAAUUGACCCCGUAACUUCGGGAUAAGGGGUCCCCUCCUCCGGGAGGGGCGCAGAGAAUAGGUCCAGGCAACUGUUUAACAAAAACACAGGGCUGUGCGAAGUUGAAAGAUGAAGCAUACAGCCUGACACCUGCCCGGUGCCGGAAGGUUAAGAGGAGGCGUCAUCGCAAGAGAAGCGCUGAAUUGAAGCCCCGGUAAACGGCGGCCGUAACUAUAACGGUCCUAAGGUAGCGAAAUUCCUUGUCGGGUAAGUUCC